rnacentral:rRNA from 1 species
UACGUAGGGCGCAAGCGUUGUCCGGAAUUAUUGGGCGUAAAGAGCUCGUAGGCGGUUUGUCACGUCGGAUGUGAAAGCCCGGGGCUUAACCCCGGGUCUGCAUUCGAUACGGGCAGACUAGAGUGUGGUAGGGGAGAUCGGAAUUCCUGGUGUAGCGGUGAAAUGCGCAGAUAUCGGGAGGAACACCAAUGGCGAAGGCAGCUUGCUGGGACGGUACUGACGCUGAGGAGCGAAAGCGUGGGGAGCGAACAGG